AGCCUCUGGAGCAACAGAACUCACUUAUUACCAGAGUCAAUGCUUGCCCAGCGAGAAGCCAUCUUUCUCCACCUCACUGAUUUUCCUUUAGCUCCAUUCCUUCCAGGAUUCACAGAGAAAAGGGUGAAGCUUCUUCUUCAUACAGAAAAGAAGGUCUCAGGACAAACAAACAGGCCAAAGCAUGGAUUUGGAGGAGUGUGAAAACUUGUCUAUAAUGCCAGGAUGUCAAUGCCAUAUCAGAUUUAGUGUACCUGGUGGUCCUGGAGCACCUCUGUCUCCCUUUUCUCCUUUUAAGUCUGCUGAGCUGCGCAGCCCCCAGGAAUCUCUGUUUGCUUUAGCACCUGCCACAAAAGCAUCACAAAUUCGUGAGAACUUGCAAACAGCAGAGACUAUAGCAGUGACAAUCAAACCACCCAAGUUGUGCAGAAUGGCUACAAAUACAGAAGAAUGAGAUGGACUUCUUCCCUUUCAGAGCCCCAGGUUACAACAGAAGUUUCCAGAUAGUUCCUCUCUGCCCUUCUCUUUCAUCUUUUCAGUCAUGAGAAGUGAAAGCUGGUCAUCCUCCCAUGGAUAUCCCCGUGAUCUGUCUGGUGACCCAGCCUCCAGCUGUGAGCCCAUGGUCAAAGGCCUAUUGACAGAGCAGUGGGGCCUCAUUUUAUGUUGCUGAUUAAACUGUAAACUCUCCAGACUCCUUUGCAGAGUGAUGGGAACAGUGUUUUAAUUCCCAGGAACAUGGGAACUGGGAAACAGGUUCAGGCUGUAUGUUAGAGGCUGCACUACUGCUUUUUUCCACAAAAUUACACUGAAAGUAUAAUAAAUAGGCAGGAAUAAAUUUUUGUUAUAAGUAGUUAAAGAAAAGGAGGAAGACCACCGACUUUAUUUCCUCUGUGAUCUUGAGAAGACCUCCUUCUCCAUUGUGUACUACUGGAUCAUAAGAAAAGCACUGAACCAGAGAUGCAGGCUUGCCUUAAUUUUAAUGCCUCGUGCGCACCGUAAGUGACCACUUUGUGCUUAUCUGGUGGAGUACUAGCUCAAGAAUGGAACAGUCAGACCAUUACAAUAUUCUUAAAAUGGCAUGAAAACUGUACAUAAAUGGUGACUUUCCCUCCUUAAACCAAAGAAAGAAGGGAUGCAUGCUGGAGUGACUUCAGUGUUUACUCUUUGGGUUGAGAAUUAGUAUGCAUUUAGAGAAAAGAAACUAUAAUGUUUAAUUGAAAAAAACCGACAAGUUUUAAACAAAAUUGUCAUAGUCAAAAUCCUCACUUUCAAGCUUUUACCUAGGCUGAAAGUCUAAAAAGAGCAGAAUGUCCUUUAUCAGCUUGGAGUCAACUCUUAGAACUCUUAGAAAAUGCCUUGAACCAAGAACUUCGGGUUCUCUGUGGACAUUUAUUCUGUUACAUCAUGGUUUCUUUGUUAAAAACAAAAAUACAGACAGAGAAAUUUUUUGGAGUUCCUGUGUACAGGGGGACACAAGCAAUUAGGAGUCUUUGAAUUUAGGAGCAGCACUGGACAACCUAGGCUUUAUGGACUUAAUUCUGUGGACAUAGCCCUGAAGAAAUGUGGACAGUUUGCCAAGCACGAGACUUUGGCUUUCACUUGUAAGAGAUGAGUUAGUUAUUCAGCGGUAAGGAUUCAGAGAGGAAGCUCAGGGCAUCAUUGUACCCCACAAAUUUGACCCUCUAUUGUCGUGAAACCCCCUUCCAUUCAGAGGAGUGAAAACUAACAAAACUUCUCCAGCCUUGUGAGAAUUUCCCCAGGGUCCUCAUGUGUGGAGUUUCUCAUCCUCCUUCCCCAUUAGUCUUACUUCCUUCUUUGUCUGCCUGUCACGUUUUUGUCCUAGCUACUCCCGAACCCCAGAAAUUAUUUUUCUUUUCAGCAGGCCUCACCUUCCUAGUGAAGGAGGGGAUGAGAAACAUUUCUUCUGUCUCACCAGAAAAAUCACCACCCCCUCACAGAAAGAAUCUUUAAUAGCUUGUUUCUUUCCCUCAGCAAUAUUCUCUGGGACUCCAGCAGCCAGCAUGUGUUGACCCUGCCUGUGAUAAUUUUCUUUCAAGCCAAAAGAUGGGAGCUCUGAUUACAAGCUCGUGGUUUUUGUGUAUCAGUCACUCAGAGAAGGGAAGUGGUUUCGACACCAUCAAACACUGGAGGAAUGAGACCACCUGGCUGCUUGGUGGGAUGGAGUAUCAGGUGGACUUUAGAAUUUGCAUCUUAGGAACACUGCCAGAGCAGAGAGUAAUGAUUUGUCGCAGCCAUGUGUGACACCUCUGCUCUGACAGAGGACUUCUAAGAUUAGAUCUUGCAGAAACUGUAUUGCAUUGCUCAAUUUAUGAAUCUUAGUCUUCAAAGUGCAGACCUAAGCUUUUUUUCU